AGUAAGAUAAGCUAAUACCUAAGCUGUUGGGCUCAUAACCCAAAAAUAGAUUCACUCUUCCUACUA
rnacentral:tRNA from 1 species